rnacentral:hammerhead_ribozyme from 1 species
AUCCGGCUGAAGAGCCACAAAUAGGACGAAACGAGCGUUCUGGAU